rnacentral:rRNA from 1 species
CAGCAGUCGCGGUAAUUCGUAGGGUGCGAGCGUUAAUCGGAUUUACUGGGCGUAAAGCGUGCGCAGGCGGCCCGUUAAGACAGGUGUGAAAUCCCUGGGCUCAACCUAGGAAUUGCGCUUGUGACUGGCGGGCUCGAGUACGGUAGAGGGGGGUGGAAUUCCUGGUGUAGCAGUGAAAUGCGUAGAGAUCAGGAGGAACACCGAUGGCGAAGGCAGCCCCCUGGGCCUGUACUGACGCUCAUGCACGAAAGCGUGGGGAGCAAACAGGAUUAGAUACCCUGGUAGUCCACGCCCUAAACGAUGGGUACUAGCCGUUUGGUGCGCGAUAGCGCUGAGUGGCGAAGCUAACGCGUGAAGUACCCCGCCUGGGGAGUACGGCCGCAAGGUUGAAACUUAAAGGAAUUGGCGGG